rnacentral:rRNA from 1 species
AGCUUUAGGGCUAGCCUCAAGUGAUGAUUAUUGGAGGUAGAGCACUGUUUGGACGAGGGGCCCCUCUCGGGUUACCGAAUUCAGACAAACUCCGAAUGCCAAUUAAUUUAACUUGGGAGUCAGAACAUGGGUGAUAAGGUCCGUGUUCGAAAGGGAAACAGCCCAGACCACCAGCUAAGGUCCCAAAAUAUAUGUUAAGUGGAAAAGGAUGUGGCGUUGCCCAGACAACUAGGAUGUUGGCUUAGAAGCAGCCAUCAUUUAAAGAGUGCGUAAUAGCUCACUAGUCGAGUGACACUGCGCCGAAAAUGUACCGGGGCUAAACAUAUUACCGAAGCUGUGGAUUGUCCUUUGGACAAUGGUAGGAGAGCGUUCUAAGGGCGUCGAAGCAUGAUCGCAAGGACAUGUGGAGCGCUUAGAAGUGAGAAUGCCGGUGUGAGUAGCGAAAGACGGGUGAGAAUCCCGUCCACCGAUUGACUAAGGUUUCCAGAGGAAGGCUCGUCCGCUCUGGGUUAGUCGGGUCCUAAGCUGAGGCCGACAGGCGUAGGCGAUGGAUAACAGGUUGAUAUUCCUGUACCACCUAGUAUCGUUUUAAUCGAUGGGGGGACGCAGUAGGAUAGGCGAAGCGUGCUGUUGGAGUGCACGUCCAAGCAGUAAGGCUGAGUGUUAGGCAAAUCCGGCACUCAUAAGGCUGAGCUGUGAUGGGGAGAGGAAAUUGUUUCCUCGAGUCGUUGAUUUCACACUGCCGAGAAAAGCCUCUAGAUAGAUAACAGGUGCCCGUACCGCAAACCGACACAGGUAGUCAAGAUGAGAAUUCUAAGGUGAGCGAGCGAACUCUCGUUAAGGAACUCGGCAAAAUGACCCCGUAACUUCGGGAGAAGGGGUGCUCUUUAGGGUUCACGCCCAGAAGAGCCGCAGUGAAUAGGCCCAAGCGACUGUUUAUCAAAAACACAGGUCUCUGCUAAACCGUAAGGUGAUGUAUAGGGGCUGACGCCUGCCCGGUGCUGGAAGGUUAAGAGGAGUGGUUAGCUUCUGCGAAGCUACGAAUCGAAGCCCCAGUAAACGGCGGCCGUAACUAUAACGGUCCUAAGGUAGCGAAAUUCCUUGUCGGGUAAGUUCCGACC